rnacentral:rRNA from 1 species
UACGUAGGUGGCAAGCGUUGUCCGGAUUUACUGGGCGUAAAGAGCGCGCAGGCGGUUAUUCAAGUCGAAGGUGAAAGCCCCCGGCUUAACUGGGGAGGGUCAUUCGAUACUGUUUAACUUGAAGGCAGGAGAGGGUAGUGGAAUUCCCGGUGUAGUGGUGAAAUGCGUAGAUAUCGGGAGGAACACCAGUGGCGAAGGCGACUACCUGGCCUGUUCUUGACGCUGAGGCGCGAAAGCUGGGGGAGCAAACGGG